UACGUAGGGGGCAAGCGUUGUCCGGAUUCAUUGGGCGUAAAGAGCGUGUAGGCGGCCAGGUAGGUCGGUUGUGAAAACUGGAGGCUCAACCUUCAGAGGUCGACCGAAACCAUCUGGCUAGAGUCCGGGAGAGGUGAGUGGAAUUCCCAGUGUAGCGGUGAAAUGCGUAGAUAUUGGGAGGAACACCAGUGGCGAAGGCGGCUCACUGGACUGGUACUGACGCUGAGGCGCGAAAGCGUGGGGAGCAAACAGG
rnacentral:rRNA from 1 species